CACGUAGGGGGCGAGCGUUGUCCGGAUUUAUUGGGCGUAAAGAGCUCGUAGGCGGCUCGGUAAGUCAACUGUGAAAGCUCCGGGCUCAACUCGGAGAGGCCAGUAGAUACUGCUGUGGCUAGAGUCCGGUAGGGGAGCGUGGAAUUCCUGGUGUAGCGGUGAAAUGCGCAGAUAUCAGGAGGAACACCAGCGGCGAAGGCGGCGCUCUGGGCCGGAACUGACGCUGAGGAGCGAAAGCGUGGGUAGCAAACAGG
rnacentral:rRNA from 1 species